CAUGCCUUACACAUGCAAGUCGAACGGCAGCACGGGUGCUUGCACCUGGUGGUGAGUGGCAGACGGGUGAGUAACGCGUGGGAACGUGCCCUUCAGUUCGGGAUAACCCAGGGAAACUUGGGCUAAUACCGGAUACGUGCGAGAGCAGAAAGAUUUAUCGCUGAAGGAUCGGCCUGCGUCUGAUUAGCUAGUUGGUGGGGUAAUGGCCCACCAAGGCGACGAUCAGUAGCUGGUCUGAGAGGAUGAUCAGCCACAUUGGGACUGAGACACGGCCCAAACUCCUACGGGAGGCAGCAGUGGGGAAUAUUGGACAAUGGGCGCAAGCCUGAUCCAGCCAUGCCGCGUGAGUGAUGAAGGCCUUAGGGUUGUAAAGCUCUUUCGUCCGGGACGAUAAUGACGGUACCGGAAGAAGAAGCCCCGGCUAACUUCGUGCCAGCCGCCGCAGUAA
rnacentral:rRNA from 1 species